UGGUGUGCUUAUUAGUGGCGGCCACCACGCUGUUGCUCUGCAUGGCUUCGGCUUGAUGGGGGUGAAGGGAAAACUAGGCAUGUGUCACAGGGGGCAGAUGGAGGGAAAGCUUGCUUGCUUCUUGUCUGAAAUGCGUCUGCUGUGGUCCCUGGGGUGUGUGCCAUCAGCUACGGGAGGGACUCAGAGACUUUCAGUCCGGCGCUCGCCGACUGCUAACACAUUAACCACCCAGUAUGUUAAUGCGCAUCCCUGGCAGUCUGGGAAAUGCUGAGUGGCAGGCGGGAUAAAGAAGUUAUGCUUUGCCCCUGCAGGGUGACAUAACCGUUAAAAAAUAUGGCCACAUGCACCGACUGCUCUGUGGGGUCGUUACAUCUCUUGCUGCAGACUGCUCUUAAUGAAGUCAUCAGCUUGAGAUACAAAGGGUGAUGUCAACAUUCAGAAGCAGAGCGGAGUGGAGCCCCUUUUCUUAUUGUUCAAGGUCCAUCCCUAAGCAGGAAACCAGACAUGUAGAUGGGUAGACCGGCCAUGACACAGGCCAUGACAAACAACUGUUGUGAAUUCUGUCCUUUGACCCCAUAGGUAGUUCAUCGUGUGUGCUUGCACGGUUCAUAGAAAAGGAUCUGCUGUGUGUGUGUGCUCUGGAUGCCUCAUUGUAAGGUUUUAUGCAUGUAAUCACUUUAGGUGUAAAAAGAAUUACUUUGUAGUAAUGACUUUUAAAGACAACUGGAAAGGGUUUGAGAAUUUCACUGAAGUCCCAUUCUCUGCCUGUAACAGAGCUUGAGUGAACCAGAGAUUAACAGCAAGAUUCUCCACACCUAGAGUAUUUACUGACCACAGAUCACAGCCAAGAGUUCCCAUCUGUAAAGCCCCUGAGGGCAUUUGGAUCAGCCUUUUUUUUUUUUUUUUUUUUUCACUCAACCCCCAAAAUGGAUAGUUUGUCUCAUGUGCACACAGCUUGAUUUUCAGGAGCCACUGGACCAUGAAUGACUUCAGGAGAGCUUGCCGAUCCUAUAGGCUGUGGAAUCUAAGGGAACACAUCUUCCAUUAUCAGCUCUCUCCUGGACAUCAGUGUAGGGCCUGCCUAACAUGACUGUGGUCUUGCCGGAGCCUCACAAGAGUCCUGUGUAGUCCAUGGAGUUAGAGCAGACAGCUAAGACUGGAGAUAACUGCCCAGUGGGAGAGAAUGGGCUUGGCGCCUGUCUUCUGUUCCCUGAGUAUGGUCCCCGACCCCUCUGUACCAGGGCACAGAUGCCCUGCUGCUUGAGCUUGGUUGGACCCAGUGGCAAUGCUCUGGUGCCUUUUUGCAGCUCUUCUCCUGAGAGACCAGCAGAUGGGCUAGUGCUCAUGACCGAGAGCUGUUCCCCCAGCAGUUCUGACACCGACAAACGGGCCGCAUGUCAAAGUGGCAUGACCUUCUUGGGCUUUCUUUUCCUUCUGUCCUUUUCCUUUAUCUUUCCAUGGUUGUCAGCAGGUUUUUAGGAAGGGAAAGAAUAGGAGGAGAAUUCUGUGUAUAAAACUGUUUCGGGAGGGUGUGUGUGUGUGUGUGUGUGUGUGUGUGUGUGUGUGUGUGUGUGUGUGUGUGUGUGUUUACAUUUCCUCAGGUGAUUUUAGCAUG